UUGUCAAUUAGGGAUACAGUUUUGAAAGAGGAUAAUUUUUAAUUGUGUUGAAUACUUUUAGAAUGGGGGGAUAAGGGUAUGAGAUCAGGAGGUAAACUAUAUAUAGAAAAAAAAAUAUAAAUAUCUUGAUAUUUAAAAAUAUAUAUUUUAUUUUUUUCUAAUAUAUAAAAAAAAAUUAUACAUGUGUUCUCUUUAUAUAUAUAUUUUUUUAUCCCCAUCCCCUUAUCUCCCCGGCAUAACUUUUAAUUAGGGUCUAGGCCACUUCUUAAAAAAUGUAUCCGCCUCUAUCCACCUGCUGGGGGAAAGUUAUCCGGGGGGAAAAAAAUAUCCGCCCUCCAUAUCCGCCAUCCAAACGCCGGGAGAAAAGAAAAAAAUUAUCGGAGGGAAAAGGUAUUACCCUCCAAUCUACCCGCCCAAACAUGCCCUGAGGAAGAUUCACUUUAAGGGGGUGGGGUGGGGGUCCGAGUUUUAAUGGGACCCCACAAUCGAUUCUGUUUUCAGCCGUGGAGGCCGAUUCAAUUGCUCGUGAAGCUCUAUGAUGCGCCCCACGCACUCACUCAUACCCUCAAUAUCACAUUGGAUGGUGUGAGCGGAUUAUAUAUAUAAUUCGGAAAAUUACAUUGACCUCCCCUAAGGUAUACCUUUAAUAAAAGCGACCCUCCUGUUUUAUAAAUUUUCAUUUAAACACCCCUGUAAGAGGUUUUCUUUUAACAGACUGGACAAAGAAGAUUUUUUUACAAUGCUGCCCUCACUUUGCUGAACAUAAUUGACCUAAUUACCCUUGUUUGCCCUUUCAUCUCUUUCCUCUUUCCAUCUUUCCACCAUCAGUGGUUGGGAGAGGCAAUUGUCGUGGAAGCUGGUGGGAAGAGGCAUACUCUGCAAGGAGUCCUCUUAGGGAAUAUCUACCUUCUAGUUGGAUAAGUAGUCACGCUAGUAGAGGUUGAUACGAAGUGAGGAAGUCGAGUUUGCCUAGGACUUAAUGAGUUGGAUUAUAAAUAGGAGAGCUCACAUGUCUUCUAGUAGGAAUAAAACCCUAACUCUCUACUCUCUAGCUCCCUUGUUCUCUCCUCUUUCAUAUUCUUACUCUCUCUACUCUCUAGCACCUUUCCUUCUCUCCUCUUUCAUAUACUUACUCUCGUACCGGAAGGUCUUCCCCUACUGAAAAACCUUAACGGUGCACUCUUUGUAGUGUGCAAGCAACCUAAGAGGAGGAAAAGAACGUCAGAAUAGUGUAGAGGUUAGAUCCUCACACAUACAUAGAUAUACAAACACAAACACACACACGGAAACUAUUGGGAGAGAGGAAAUAUGAGGAAUUGAUUGAUCGAUUACUCACCACCGCUUGCAAACUUCUUUGAUCAAUCAAUCGCCCUUUUUUCUUGCAUGAUAAAAUAAAAUCAAAGGGUUUUAGAGGCAGUUUGUGGUGGUUGUAGGGGUGUGGUGAUGGCCAAAGUAGGAGUAAUAUUGGUGGUGGUACUGGCUGUCAUUAGCAGAGUGGCGGUGGUGACGUUUGGAGUCUUUGGAAUUUGUGUUGGUGUAGGGUUUUCGAGAUAUAACAAAAAGAUGGAGAGAGGGGAAGGAGAAAAUGUGGGAUUUUUUUUUCUCCAAGUGGAAUUAUAUUUUAAUUUUUUUGAUAGCUAUUUGAGUGGUAUUAUUGAGAAGGUCUAUAUUUGGUAUUUUAGAAAGUUUAACCAGUGACAUCAUCAAAAGGUGUUAGUUGACUUAAUAGUCAACUAACGGAAUGGGAAAAGUGCAAUUUGAUCAUGAAUCUUAGGGGAGGGAAGUGUAAUAGUGUAAUUUCUGAAAGAUGAGGGAAAGCUAUAUUAAAUACAAAUUUAAGGGGAGGUCAUUGUAAUUUACCCUAUAUAAUUUUGUGGAAAGAUUACGCCAUAAACCUCAAGGUUUGAUCUUGGUAAUAAAUUAAACACUGAGUUUUCAAUUUAAACAAAUUAAACUUUAAGUUUUUUAACUCAUGUAGCUUGAUGGUACUUACCACUUACUGUUUCUAUGAAAACAAUUGAGAAAAUAACAUUGCAUGAACUGGAGCACUUUUAAAAGCUCUAGUUCAUCCAAUUUCUACACAAAUUCAACUUUUAUUUCACUUAAUUUCUGUCACUUUCUCCAAUUCUUAUUGGAUAUAGGCAAUACUUGCGGAGAUUAGGUUUUUUAAAGGGGUCUGAAUUCUUGUAAUGUCAUUUCUUCAAUUGUUUUGGCAAGGAUUGGUAAGUACUGUCAACCUAACCGGAGGCUGAAUUUUACGGGUUAAAAAACCUAAAAUUUGGUUUGUUAAAAUUAAAAAUUCAAAAGGUUUUUUCCAUAAAAAAAAUCCUUUAUUUUCAUGAAUCAUGUAGAGUUUAUCAUUUCAUUAAACAGAGGGCAAAAGUAACUGAAAAUGUGGGUGGGUUUGGGUACCAAGAAGAAGAAAACUAAUGCAACCACCCCCCCCCCCCCCCCCCCCAAAAUUAAGGUUCUUUUGUUCCUUUUAGCGGGCCCCAGGGUU
rnacentral:lncRNA from 1 species